GACAGAGGGGGCAAGCGUUGCUCGGAAUUACUGGGCGUAAAGGGCGCGUAGGCGGGAUGGCAAGUCGGUCGUGAAAUCCCUCGGCUCAACCGAGGAACGUCGAUCGAUACUGCUGUUCUUGAGGAUUGCAGAGGAGACUGGAAUUCCCGGUGUAGCGGUGAAAUGUGUAGAGAUGUGGAGGAACACCAGUGGCGAAGGCGACUCUCUGGUCUGUAACUGACGCUGAGGCGGCGAAAGCGUUGGGGAGCAAACAGG
rnacentral:rRNA from 1 species